CUCUGGUGGUGCAUUAUCUUGUUGUUGCGCUCUGGUGAUGCAUUAUCUUGUUGUUGCGCUCUGGUGAUGCAUUAUCUUGUUGUUGCGCUCUGGUGAUGCAUUAUCUUGUUGUUGCGGUCUGUUGGUGCAUUAUCUUGUUGUUGCGGUCUGUUGGUGCAUUAUCUUGUUGUUGCGGGCUGAUACAUUAUCUUGUGGCGGUCUGGUGAUGCAUUAUCUUGAUGUUACGGUCUGUUGAUGCACUAUCUUGUUGCGGUCUGUAGGUGUGAUGUUCGGAUGUACCGAUCCUGUGCAGGUGUUGGUACAUGUGGUUAACUGACCAUUACUUUCCCAGAAUCUAUGUUCAUUGAUUCUCUCGUUUUAGUAGUGUCAGCUUGGCGAUUUGAGGAGUUGAGACAAAUUAUCGGUAGAAAAGUUUACUUCUGUAAUAGAUCUCAGCACAUAUACUGGUGAAGAGGUAAGGCCAGAGUAAUGGAUCUCAGCACAGAUCCUGGUGAAGAGGUAAGGCCAGAGUAAUAGAUGUAGAAACAUACUGGUGAAGAGGUAAGGCCAGAGUAAUGGAUCUCAGCACAGAUCCUGGAGAAGAGGUAAGGCCAGAGUAAUGGAUGUUGAAGAGGUACAAUCUUAGAUAAAAAGGUGCUAUCAAAAAGCGUUCUUCAGCUGUCCCCAUAGAUCAGUGGUCACCAACCGAUCUUUUGACUGGCCCAUCUUCAAGGCAUUCCUAGUCGAUCUACAAACAUUUAUGUAGAAGAAAAAAAACCUUAAGGCGAUUCUUUAAAAUAAUAUAUAUUAUUAGUGUAAAAAUAAAUAAAUAUAUAUAUAUAUUAUUCGUGUAAAAAUACAAAUUUAAAUAUAUAUUAUUAGUGAAAAAAGUCAAAAUAAAUAUGAAUAUAUAUUAUUAGUGCUCCGCUGUUAUAUCGGUUGGUGCACUUGAUUCAGAAGCCCUGCACACCAUUUAUAACCAUUUAAUUUGUCUGAAAAGACCAACUCUACCUACCUGGCGAACUGGGAGAUAUGUAGCUAAAUCGAGUGCGUAUACUGUGCUGGCCAAUUCGAUAGCUCACCUACCUUCCACGACCCCAGCCACAGCAACGUGUGAGAGCAGAUAUUAAAAUCUUACCCUACGAGGUCCUGAGUACUAGCUGAUAGUUAACUUCACCCACCUGGUUAUAGUUCCGUUUCAGUCUCUGAUUAAAAAGGGAGGAAUACAAAUCAGUGGAACUGGCUUCAGGGUCCUAGAGUCACACCCCAUUUAUACCCAAGGAGAGUAUGGAGGAAAGGAUCUGCCACAGAACAGCGCCUUUGGAACAUCUGAGGGUUUAACGGUCUUGCUCCUAGGGCAGAACAGCAGGAAAUGAGGACUAGGACAACUGAUGACAGCAAGUAAUAGCAGCAGUAGCCCACUGGCCAGGGGAGGAGGGCAGCAGUAGCCCACUGGCCAGGGGAGGAGGG
ensembl:lncRNA